rnacentral:rRNA from 1 species
UAUUAGAGUUUGAUCAUGGCUCAGAUUGAUACGCUGGCGGCAGGCCUAACACAUGCAAGUCGAGCGGAUGAUGGGAGCUUGCUCCCGGAUUCAGCGGCGGACGGGUGAGUAAUGCCUAGGAAUCUGCCUGGUAGUGGGGGACAACGUUUCGAAAGGAACGCUAAUACCGCAUACGUCCUACGGGAGAAAGCAGGGGACCUUCGGGCCUUGCGCUAUCAGAUAGAGCCUAGGUCGGAUUAGCUAGUUGGUGGGGUAAAGGCCUACCAAGGCGACGAUCCGUAACUGGUCUGAGAGGAUGAUCAGUCACACUGGAACUGAGACACGGUCCAGACUCCUACGGGAGGCAGCAGUAGGGGAAUAUUGGACAAUGGGCGAAAGCCUGAUCCAGCCAUGCCGCGUGUGUGAACGAAGGUCUUCGGAUUGUAAAGCACU